GGGAGUAUAGUUUAAUACGGCAAAACACGUGUUUUGCAUACACGGAAUUAUCGGUUCGAGUCCGAUUACUUCCAC
rnacentral:tRNA from 1 species